AGCUCCAAUAGCGUAUAUUAAAGUUGUUGCAGUUAAAAUGCUCGUAGUUGAAACAUGGGUAAAGCUUAUUUAUGCGAUAACCUUUGGUUGUUGCGUUUGUAGUCUUGCCCAAUUGGCGCAUUAGUGGUGAUUCUUCACUGGGUCGUUACUUUGUGCCACUUUACUUUGAGAAACAUAGGGUGUUCCAAGCAUGUCAAAAUGCAUGAAUAUUCCAGCAUGGUAUAAUAGAUUUGGCUUCAGUCUUGUCGUUUUGGUUCACAUGACUGAAGUAAUGAUUAAUAGGGACUGUCGGGGACAUUGGUAUUUAACUGUCAGAGGUGAAAUUCUUAGAUUUGUUAAGGACUAACUACUGCGAAAGCAUUUGUCAAGGAUGUCUCCAUUAAUCAAGAACGAAAGUACG
rnacentral:rRNA from 1 species